ensembl:lncRNA
UGAAACUCAACCGCUUUUAAUUUCAGGGCAAUUCUUUUCUGGUAUGCUCCUCACUCCCUGACCCCUCCAUCUAAAACUUAAUGCGAUGACUGCCCAUGACAAACGUUUGAAUGUUGACACUGCAGAAUGUUAUGUUUUUGUCCCUGUCAUACCUCUAAACAUUAUUUUUACUAGACUGACCUCUCUCCAGCAUUUCUAACCCAUAUACCUGACUGCUUACUACUUACAGAGCUUACUACUUCCUGACACUUAAACUCAACAUGGCUUCUGGCAGCCUGCCUGUGCAGUCCUCCUGCUAUUCACACUGUCUCGACAUUCUUCCCAUAUCAAAUUGUGCUGACCUCACUAGGACUGUGCCGGAACGGCACAUGUGGCUUAUAGGCUGAAUCAUGAAAGACGUGUCUUUUUCCCUGAUGUCCCUUGGAUCAUUGCUCUGAGAAGAACCAACUGCCAUGUUGUGAGGACACUCAAGGAGCCCUGUGGAGAAUCACACCAGCCACCUACCAAAAGCCACAAGGGUGAAUCAUCUUAGAAACAGAUGCUCUAGCUUCAGUCAAGCCUUCAGAUGACUGCAAGUCUAUCCAACAUCUUGAAGUAAUCAUGAAAGAUCCUGAGUUAUAACCACUCACCUAAGCUGCUUCCAAACUCCUAACUCAAAGAAAAGAGCAUACGGUAGUGCCUUUUUUUUAACAGGCAAGCUGAGAGAGGUCAAUGCAAGGAAAGAGCUUAGGCUUGCCUUAUGUCCAAGUAGACAAGAAGAGCCAAGAAGUCUGGAAGACACCAAAAGGAAAGAAGGGUCAGGAAAGGUUAAUGCGUAUGGUCUUCGUGAACAAAGUAGUUGCCUGAGGGCCAAGUGAAUAAAACCUAUGAGGAAGCAAAAGCAAACCCAAUUUCUGUAAUGCCUGCGAGGACGGAAGUGGUGUGCAACAUCUUUUACACUGUACGUAUAUUCUAAGGAGAAGAGGGUGUCAGUGGAUGAGAUGGUUGGAUGGCAUCACCGAUGCAACGGACAUAAACCUGGGCAAAGCUUAGGAGAUGGUCCCUGGAUGAUUCUGGGAACUACUGCCUGAUAUAGGGUGCACAGGCAACUGGUAAGAGGUUUCCAAGUAUCUGACUUCAUCAGAUAUUCCCUCGUGGACACCAUACAUGCUGUACUCUUGGUGCUGUAAUCUUCCUAACUUACUUGUAAGGACUCAGGAUGUUGUUUGAGACAGCUGUUAGGGCUAAUGAUGCUGGGAAAGUUAAAUUCUUCUGUGUAUAAGCUCUUAUGAAAAAGAU